GCGCCUCUAAGGAGCAUUACGGCAGGGCUCGUUCCCGGCUCCGGCCGCCAGCCCCAGCCUCCCAGGUCCGGAGCCGGGACUGGCGGAGGCCGGGAGGGAGGGAGCACGAGCGAGGAGGCACGCGCCCGCCGGUCCGCGCCCAGCCCGCCGCCGCCGCGGCCUCAGCAGCCAUGGCGGAGCGCCGCGCCUUCGCCCAGAAAAUCAGCAGAACGGUGGCAGCUGAAGUUAGGAAGCAGAUCUCCGGUCAAUAUAGUGGUUCUCCCCAACUGCUCAAAAACCUUAAUAUUGUUGGCAAUAUAUCCCAUCAUACCACCGUGCCCCUUACUGAAGCAGUAGAUCCAGUGGAUUUGGAAGAUUACCUCAUUACUCAUCCUUUGGCUGUGGAUUCUGGGCCUUUACGGGAUUUGAUUGAAUUUCCUCCAGAUGAUAUUGAAGUUGUUUAUAGUCCUCGUGACUGCAGAACUCUUGUUUCAGCUGUACCUGAAGAAAGUGAAAUGGAUCCACAUGUUAGAGACUGUAUAAGAAGUUAUACAGAAGACUGGGCAAUUGUCAUCAGAAAAUAUCAUAAAUUGGGAACAGGAUUUAAUCCCAAUACAUUAGAUAAACAGAAAGAAAGGCAAAAAGGUUUACCAAAACAGGUCUUUGAGUCUGAUGAAGCUCCAGAUGGCAACAACUACCAGGAUGACCAAGAUGAUCUUAAAAGACGUUCAAUGUCAAUAGAUGAUACCCCAAGGGGUAGCUGGGCCUGUAGUAUCUUUGACUUGAAAAAUUCACUUCCUGAUGCUUUGCUUCCCAAUUUACUUGAUCGAACUCCAAAUGAAGAAAUAGACCGUCAGAAUGAUGACCAAAGGAAAUCAAACCGUCACAAAGAACUUUUUGCUUUGCAUCCAUCACCAGAUGAGGAAGAACCAAUAGAACGGCUUAGUGUUCCUGAUGUACCCAAAGAACAUUUUGGUCAAAGACUUCUUGUAAAAUGCUUAUCGCUGAAGUUUGAAAUUGAAAUUGAACCCAUUUUUGCAAGUUUAGCUUUAUAUGAUGUCAAGGAAAAGAAAAAGAUUUCAGAAAACUUUUAUUUUGACCUUAAUUCUGAGCAAAUGAAAGGAUUGUUACGUCCACAUGUACCACCUGCUGCCAUUACCACCCUGGCAAGAUCAGCAAUUUUUUCUAUCACUUAUCCUUCCCAAGAUGUUUUUCUUGUAAUAAAGCUAGAAAAAGUUCUACAGCAAGGAGACAUUGGAGAGUGUGCAGAACCAUAUAUGAUUUUCAAAGAAGCAGAUGCCACCAAGAAUAAGGAAAAACUGGAGAAACUGAAGAGUCAAGCAGAUCAAUUUUGCCAAAGACUUGGGAAAUAUCGCAUGCCUUUUGCUUGGACUGCAAUCCAUUUAAUGAAUAUUGUUAGCAGUGCUGGGAGUUUGGAAAGAGAUUCUACUGAAGUAGAAAUCAGUACUGGAGAACGAAAAGGGUCUUGGUCAGAGAGGAGGAAUUCUAGUAUUGUUGGCAGACGAUCACUUGAAAGGACAACGAGCGGAGAUGAUGCUUGUAACUUGACAAGUUUUCGACCAGCUACUCUCACAGUGACAAAUUUUUUUAAGCAGGAAGGAGACCGCUUAAGUGAUGAAGAUCUCUACAAAUUCCUUGCUGAUAUGAGAAGGCCGUCUUCUGUCUUACGGCGACUAAGACCUAUUACAGCUCAGCUCAAGAUAGACAUUUCUCCCGCACCUGAAAAUCCCCAUUAUUGCCUGACUCCAGAGCUGCUUCAAGUGAAGCUUUACCCUGACAGUAGAGUUAGACCUACCAGAGAAAUUUUAGAGUUUCCUGCAAGGGAUGUUUAUGUUCCAAACACUACUUACAGAAAUCUUCUCUACAUAUACCCUCAGAGUCUUAAUUUUGCCAAUCGUCAAGGUUCUGCUAGAAAUAUAACAGUGAAAGUCCAGUUUAUGUAUGGAGAGGAUCCAAGCAAUGCCAUGCCGGUAAUCUUUGGUAAAUCUAGCUGUUCAGAAUUUUCAAAGGAAGCCUAUACAGCCGUAGUAUAUCAUAACAGGUCUCCUGAUUUUCAUGAAGAAAUCAAGGUUAAGCUUCCUGCUACUUUAACUGAUCAUCAUCACUUGCUUUUUACUUUUUAUCAUGUUAGUUGUCAACAAAAACAAAAUACUCCUCUUGAAACACCAGUUGGAUAUACAUGGAUACCAAUGCUUCAGAAUGGACGGUUGAAGACUGGCCAGUUUUGCUUACCAGUCUCAUUGGAAAAACCACCACAGGCUUAUUCUGUACUGUCUCCUGAGGUUCCUCUACCUGGCAUGAAAUGGGUAGAUAAUCACAAAGGUGUUUUUAAUGUGGAAGUUGUUGCUGUUUCAUCUGUCCAUACACAAGAUCCUUAUCUUGACAAGUUUUUUGCUCUGGUCAAUGCUCUGGAUGAACACAUGUUCCCCGUACGAAUUGGGGACAUGCGAAUCAUGGAAAAUAACUUAGAAAAUGAAUUGAAGAACAGUAUUUCAGCACUGAAUACAUCUCAGUUGGAACCAGUGGUCCGAUUUCUUCAUCUUCUGCUAGAUAAAUUGAUACUUUUAGUUGUUAGACCUCCUGUCAUUGCUGGCCAAAUAGUUAAUCUAGGUCAAGCAUCUUUUGAAGCCAUGGCAUCAAUUAUAAAUCGACUUCACAAAAACUUGGAAGGAAAUCAUGACCAGCAUGGCAGAAACAGCCUUCUUGCAUCAUAUAUUUAUUAUGUUUUCCGCCUACCAAAUACUUACCCUAAUUCAUCUUCACCAGGUCCUGGGGGUUUGGGAGGAUCAGUGCAUUAUGCCACAAUGGCUAGAUCUGCUGUGAGACCUGCAAGCCUUAAUUUAAAUCGUUCUCGAAGCCUUAGUAAUAGCAAUCCAGAUAUAUCUGGGACUCCCACAUCACCAGAUGAUGAAGUUCGGUCAAUCAUCGGGAGUAAGGGUUUAGAUCGCUCCAAUUCCUGGGUUAACACUGGUGGUCCAAAGGCUGCCCCAUGGGGAUCCAACCCCAGUCCAAGUGCAGAAUCAACACAGGCUAUGGAUCGAAGUUGUAAUCGUAUGUCUUCGCACACAGAGACGUCAAGUUUCUUACAAACAUUAACGGGACGCUUACCAACUAAAAAGGGAAAGGAAGAUGAGUUAGAAAAAUUGUCACUCUUACUUUUUCAUGAGGAGCUGGCUUUGCAGUGGGUUGUUUGCAGUGGCAGCGUUCGGGAAUCAGCUUUGCAACAAGCCUGGUUCUUUUUUGAGUUAAUGGUAAAGAGCAUGGUGCAUCAUUUAUACUUUAAUGAUAAACUUGAUGCUCCAAGGAAAAGUCGUUUUCCAGAACGUUUCAUGGAUGACAUUGCAGCUCUUGUCAGCACGAUUGCUAGUGAUAUAGUUUCGCGAUUUCAGAAGGACACAGAAAUGGUUGAGAGACUCAAUACAAGCCUUGCAUUCUUUCUCAAUGAUCUGUUGUCUGUUAUGGACAGAGGAUUUGUUUUUAGCCUUAUAAAGUCCUGCUAUAAACAGGUGUCUUCAAAGCUUUACUCAUUACCGAAUCCGAGUGUUCUGGUGUCCUUGAGGCUGGAUUUUCUGCGAAUCAUCUGCAGUCAUGAGCAUUAUGUUACAUUAAACUUACCCUGUAGCUUACUUACUCCACCUGCAUCUCCAUCACCUUCUGUUUCUUCUGCAACAUCUCAGAGUUCUGGAUUUUCUACGAAUGUACAAGACCAGAAGAUUGCAAAUAUGUUUGAAUUGUCGGUGCCUUUCCGCCAACAGCAUUAUUUGGCAGGACUUGUGUUAACAGAGUUGGCUGUCAUUUUAGACCCUGAUGCUGAAGGACUGUUUGGAUUGCAUAAGAAAGUCAUCAAUAUGGUACACAAUUUACUUUCCAGUCACGACUCAGACCCACGGUACUCUGACCCCCAGAUAAAGGCUCGAGUGGCCAUGUUGUAUCUACCUCUGAUUGGUAUUAUCAUGGAAACUGUACCUCAGCUGUAUGAUUUUACAGAAACUCACAAUCAACGUGGAAGACCAAUUUGUAUAGCCCCUGAUGACUAUGAAAGUGAGAGUGGAAGUAUGAUAAGCCAGACUGUUGCCAUGGCAAUCGCGGGGACAUCGGUCCCUCAACUAACAAGGCCUGGCAGUUUCCUCCUCACAUCAACGAGUGGCAGACAACACACUACCUUUUCAGCAGAAUCAAGUCGAAGCCUUUUGAUCUGUCUACUUUGGGUUCUCAAAAAUGCAGAUGAAACAGUUCUACAGAAGUGGUUUACAGAUCUCUCGGUCUUGCAGCUAAACCGGCUAUUAGAUCUGCUUUAUCUCUGUGUAUCUUGCUUUGAGUAUAAAGGGAAAAAAGUGUUUGAAAGAAUGAACAGCUUGACCUUUAAGAAAUCAAAAGACAUGAGAGCAAAGCUUGAAGAAGCUAUUCUUGGGAGCAUAGGUGCUAGGCAAGAAAUGGUGCGUCGAAGCCGAGGACAGCUUGGUACGUACACAAUAGCUUCUCCUUCUGAGAGAAGCCCAUCUGGAAGUGCGUUUGGAAGUCAAGAAAAUUUGAGGUGGAGAAAAGAUAUGACUCACUGGCGUCAAAACACAGAGAAGCUUGACAAAUCAAGAGCAGAGAUUGAACAUGAAGCACUGAUUGAUGGAAACCUGGCUACAGAAGCAAACCUAAUCAUUUUGGAUACAUUAGAGAUUGUUGUUCAGACCGUUUCUGUAACAGAAUCCAAAGAGAGCAUUCUUGGUGGAGUGCUAAAAGUGCUACUACACAGCAUGGCCUGUAACCAAAGUGCAGUUUAUCUACAACACUGUUUUGCUACACAGAGAGCCUUGGUUUCAAAGUUUCCUGAACUCUUAUUUGAAGAAGAGACAGAGCAGUGCGCUGAUUUAUGCCUCAGGCUUCUCCGACACUGUAGCAGUAGCAUCAGUACGAUACGGUCACACGCCAGUGCUUCCCUUUACCUACUAAUGAGGCAAAACUUUGAGAUUGGGAAUAACUUUGCCAGGGUUAAAAUGCAGGUAACAAUGUCAUUAUCCUCCUUGGUGGGCACAUCUCAGAAUUUUAAUGAAGAAUUCUUAAGACGUUCUCUAAAGACUAUAUUGACGUAUGCUGAAGAAGAUCUGGAAUUGAGGGAAACAACAUUUCCUGAUCAGGUUCAGGAUCUGGUUUUCAAUCUCCAUAUGAUCCUUUCUGAUACUGUGAAAAUGAAGGAACACCAGGAGGAUCCUGAAAUGUUGAUUGACCUAAUGUACAGAAUUGCCAAGGGUUACCAGACCUCUCCAGAUCUGCGAUUGACCUGGUUGCAGAACAUGGCUGGCAAGCACUCAGAACGAAGCAAUCAUGCUGAAGCUGCACAGUGUCUAGUCCAUUCAGCAGCACUUGUUGCUGAAUAUUUGAGCAUGCUAGAGGACCGGAAAUAUCUUCCUGUGGGAUGUGUAACAUUUCAGAAUAUUUCAUCUAAUGUUUUAGAAGAAUCUGCAGUCUCAGAUGAUGUGGUAUCUCCAGAUGAAGAAGGUAUCUGCUCUGGAAAAUACUUUACUGAGUCAGGACUUGUGGGAUUACUGGAACAAGCAGCUGCUUCUUUCUCUAUGGCUGGCAUGUAUGAAGCCGUUAAUGAAGUUUACAAAGUACUUAUUCCUGUUCAUGAAGCUAAUCGGGAUGCAAAGAAACUGUCCACAAUUCAUGGUAAACUUCAAGAAGCAUUCAGCAAAAUUGUUCAUCAGUUUUUUUAUAUGACCUGCCCUUUUUACUUUUAUUAUACAGAGUACUGGCUGGGAGUUCUAUCUUGUGUAUAUUUUUCUUUUUGACUCUAUGAAAACUUCAGUAAUUUUGUUUUUUCUAAAAGCUAUGUUUCCUAGCUAAUUUUCUAGUAUUCUGAUAGAGCUCUCACUGGAUUGAAGGUCCAGUAAGGAUAAUCUGUACAUAUUAGAAAGGCUCUUAGAAUUGACAACUUUCUCCCUAACUUAUAGGAAAACCUCUUCUGGGCUUAUAUAUUAGUCAUGUGUUUCAUUUUUUUUAUUAUGCUCCUUGAUUUAGUGCAAAUUAUUUGAGUUGGCAGAGCUUUUUAGUGGUAUGUGUUUGUGUGUGUGUGUGUGUGUGUGUGUGUGUGUGUAAAAGAUAACUCUGAAACUUAGUAUUUUGGUAAAGUGUUUACCAUACCAAAUAAUAAAUCAUGAACCUUUCAGGAAUCAUGUGGCCGUUAUCUCCUCUGCUAGUUUCAGUUCUUUAAUGGCUGUUUAGUGCUCACUUUUAUUUUUACUUUUCCCAAAGCAUUUUUGUAUUUCUUGAAACAAUAGGAAGUAAAAAUGUGUUUGUUGUCUUUUAAAAUUUUUGUUGAUGAGAUGGGAUCUCACUCUGUUAUUCAGGCUGGAGUGCAGUGACACGAACAUAGCUCACUGCAGCCUUGACCUUCUGGGUUCAGAUGAUCGUCCCAUCUCAGCCUCCGGAGUAGCUAGGACUGUAUGCAUAUGCCACCAGCUAAUUUUUGGUAUUUUUGUAGAGAUAGAAUUGUGCCAUAUUGCUCAGGUUGAUCUCAAACUCCUGGGCCUAAGCAAUCCACUCACCUCAGCCUCCCAAAAUGCUAGGAUUACAGGAAUGAGCCACCACACUCAGCCUAAAAGCAUGCUUUGAGCAUUUCUUUUUUAUGAUGCAUAUUUAAUUAUUUUUAGCAGAAAGAUAAAUGUUAGAUUUCUAUAUGAAAAUUUUUGUAACCAUUUUCUAUUUUUAUGUGUAUGUAUUUUUUAAAAAUAAUUAUGUUUGUACCAGCCUGCACAACAUAGCAAGACCGUCUCUACGGAUAAUUAUAAAAAUUAGCCAGGUAUGGUGGUGUGCAUCUGUACUUGUACUCUGAGCUACUGGCGAGGCCGAGGCAGCAGGAUUGCUUGAGCCCAGGCUUUCACAGCUGCAGUGAGCUGUGGUGGUGUCACUCAAUUCCAGCCUGGAUGACAGAGUGAGACCGUGUCUUAGAGUUAGGGUUAAAAAAGAAAAGUUUGUUCAUUUAUCAAAUAGUGACCAAUUUGUAUGUAGAAGUACACUAAUGCAAGUUUAAAUUUUCCAGAAAAAUCAAUCCUCAAAUAGUGAUUAGUCAUGUGACACUUUUUUUUCUUCAAAGAUCACAACAUAGUUCUUUAAAGAACACUGCUACUCGGCUAGGUGCAGUGGCUCAUGCCUUUAAUUCCAGCACUUUGAGAGGCUGAGGCGGGCAGAUCACCUGAGGUUGGAAGUUCAAGACCAACCUGACCAACAUGGAGAGACCCUGUCUCUAGUAAAAAUACAAAAAAUUAGCCAGGCAUGGUGGCGCAUGCCUGUAAUCUCAGCUACUCAGGAGGCUGAGGUAGGAGAAUCACUUGAACCUGGGAGGCAGAGGUUGUGGUGAGCCAAGAUCAUGCCAUUGCACUCCAGCCUGGGCAACAAGAGUGAAACUCUGUCUCAAAACAAACAAAAAAACCCCACUACUUUAGUAAAGUAUAUCUUACAUUUUCCAGAAAGGCUAGAGAAGAUCUCUCCUAGAUACCUAAGGAAGUAUAGAUUACCUUAACUUUAAGAUUGACACGUGCAAAAUGACUAUAUCUUAACUCUUAUUACUGGACUAAGUAGACAUGAAUGUGAGCCAGUAUUUUGGUUUUUACAUGUUCAGAAAUACUAGCCAUAGUUCUGGCUCAGUGGCUUCUGUUGGAUUUUUAUUUUCUUCAAUCCACACUAAAGCAGAGUGAGAUAAAGUAACUCAUCCAAGCAAUUAAAAGAUAGAGCAGAAUUAGAAAUAGCAAAUUAUAAUGAGCAGGGGAAUUAACUCUGAAAGAAGGAAAUGAAAUAAAAAUUCUAGAGUAGAACAUAGUGAAAACAAGUACUGUUGGAUAGUUGAGUGGGUAAAUGUGACACUCUAAAGAAGGAAUGAGAAACAGAUCAGGUGCAAUGGCCCACACCUGUAAUCCCAGCACUUUGGGAGACCAAGGUAGGAGAAUCGUUUGAGUCCAGGAGAUCAAGACCAGCAUGGGCAACAUGGCAAAACCCAUGUCUCUACCAAAACAACAACAACAAAAAUUGCCAGGGCAUGUACCUGUGGUCCCAGCUACUUGGGAGGCUGAGGUGGGAGUAUUGCUUAAGCUGAGGAGGUAGUUUGCAGUGAGCCAAGACCACACUACUAUACUCCAGCCUGGGCGACAGAACGAGAUCCUAUCUCAAAAAAAAAAAAAAAAAGAUCUCAGAACAUUGUAGGUAUAGAACAUCCGUGAGUCUUUACCUCAGGAAGGUGAAGUUAGAUAUGAAUAAAGUUAAGGAAAACAUAGUAAAUGGGAAGAAUCUUAAUAUCUCUAAGAGGAGAUAUUUUCUGGUAGUUAGUGACUCUCUGAUGGCUGGUAUAGACCUGUAACUGAGCGCCUGAUAAGAUAGGCCAUACCACUGAUUGUUUUUUUCUGCCCCUUCUGCUACAUUUGAGAAGAAAAAGAAAGAUAUAAAAGCCCAGUGAGGUGGCUCAUACCCGUAAUCCCAACAUUUUUGGAGGCCAAGGCGGGAAGAUCUCUUGAGACCUGAAGCUUGAAACCAGCUGGGGCAACACUGCAAGAUCCUUGUCUCUACCCCACUGCCCUCCCCGCAAAAAAAGCCAGGCGUGCACCUGUAGUCCUAACUACUUGGGAGACUGAGACAGAAGGAUCACUUAAGCCCAGGAGUUCAAGGUUACAGUGAACUAGGAUCACACCACUGCACUCUGGCCUGGGUGACAGAGAUGGUAAGCGGAUGUUUGGCACCUAUUUUCGUGUUGGUUUUUAUGGAACCAAGUUCGGGGAUUUGGAUGAACAAGAAUUUGUUUACAAGGAGCCUGCAAUAACCAAACUUGCAGAGAUAUCUCACAGAUUGGAG